AGAGUUUGAUCCUGGCUCAGGAUGAACGCUGGCGGCGUGCUUAACACAUGCAAGUCGAACGAAGCAUUUCAGAUGAAGUUUUCGGACGGAAUCGGGGAUGACUUAGUGGCGGACGGGUGAGUAACGCGUGGGCAACCUGCCCCAUACUGGGGGAUAACAGCCGGAAACGGCUGCUAAUACCGCAUAAGCUCCCGGGUGCGCAUGCACCUGGGGGGAAAACUCCGGUGGUAUGGGAUGGGCCCGCGUUGGAUUAGGCAGUUGGCGGGGUAACGGCCCACCAAACCGACGAUCCAUAGCCGGCCUGAGAGGGCGACCGGCCACAUUGGGACUGAGACACGGCCCAAACUCCUACGGGAGGCAGCAGUGGGGAAUAUUGCACAAUGGGGGGAACCCUGAUGCAGCGACGCCGCGUGAGCGAAGAAGUAUUUCGGUAUGUAGAGCUCUAUCAGCAGGGAAGAAAAUGACGGUACCUGCAUAAGAAGCCCCGGCUAAAUACGUGCCAGCGGCCGCGGUAAUACGUAUGGGGCAAGCGUUAUCCGGAUUUACUGGGUGUAAAGGGAGCGUAGACGGGUAUGCAAGUCUGAUGUGAAAGGCCGCGGCUCAACUGUGGGACUGCAUUGGGAAACUGUAUGCCUUGAGUGCCGGAGAGGGAAAGCGGAAUUCCUGGUGUAGCGGGUGAAAUGCGUAGAUAUCAGGAGGAACACCAGUGGCGAAGGCGGCUUACUGGACGGUAACUGACGUUGAGGCUCGAAAGCGUGGGGGAGCAAACAGGAUUAGAAUACCCUUGGUAGUCCACGCGG
rnacentral:rRNA from 1 species